rnacentral:lncRNA from 10 species
UCCAAACCAGGCUUUCUCAAUUUCACCAUCCUCACCUCCCCACAGCACAUCUGAGGCCCAUCUGGAGAAUGGUUACCAGAGGCUGGGAAGGGUAGUGGGAGAUUGAGGGGAGGUGGGGAUAGUUGAACUCUCGUGAGUUCAAUUGUUUUCAUUUUUAGAGCCCACAAAUAACUAAGAACAUGCAAUGUUUGUCUUUCUGUUCCUGGCUUAUUUCGCUUAACAUAAUGAUCUUCAGCUUCAUCCAUGAAGUCCUGCAACAUUUUCGGUGCCCAAUGUGGGGCUCAAAAAGCGGCCAUCAGACUCCAAACAGUUAUGCAACUGGAGCCUCCUGAGGAUGACCCCUUCUGCCUGGGACCCUUAGAUCAGCCUCUAGAGAAGCUUUGACUGCUGUUUCCCCAA